rnacentral:rRNA from 1 species
AGUGAACGCUGGCGGUAUGCCUAACACAUGCAAGUCGAACGGCAGCACAGUAAGAUCUUUCUCUUACGGUUGGCGAGUGGCGGACGGGUGAGGAAUACAUCGGAAUCUACUUUUUCUUGGGUGAUAACGUAGGGAAACUUACGCUAAUACCUCAUACAAUCUACGGGUUAAAGCAGUGGAUCUUCGGACCUUUCGCGUUUGAUUUAGCUGAUGUCGGAUUAGCUAGUUGGCGGGGUAAAGGCCCACCAAGGCGACGAUCCGUAGCUGGUCUGAGAGGAUGAUCAGCCACACUGGAACUGAGACACGGUCCAGACUCCUACGGGAGGCAGCAGUGGGGAAUCUUGGACAAAGGGCGCAAGCCUGAUCCAGCAAUACCGCGUGGGUGAAGAAGGCCUUCGGGUUGUAAAGCCCUUUUGUUGGGAAAGAAAAGCAGCAGGUUAAUACACCGCUGUUCUGACGGUACCCAAAGAAUAAGCACCGGCUAACUUCAUG